rnacentral:rRNA from 1 species
AUUGAACGCUGGCGGCAUGCUUUACACAUGCAAGUCGAACGGUAACAGGCCUUCGGGCGCUGACGAGUGGCGAACGGGUGAGUAAUGCAUCGGAACGUGCCCAGUCGUGGGGGAUAACGCAGCGAAAGCUGUGCUAAUACCGCAUACGAUCUGCGGAUGAAAGCGGGGGACCUUCGGGCCUCGCGCGAUUGGAGCGGCCGAUGUCAGAUUAGGUAGUUGGUGGGGUAAAGGCCCACCAAGCCAACGAUCUGUAGCUGGUCUGAGAGGACGACCAGCCACACUGGGACUGAGACACGGCCCAGACUCCUACGGGAGGCAGCAGUGGGGAAUUUUGGACAAUGGGCGCAAGCCUGAUCCAGCAAUGCCGCGUGCAGGAAGAAGGCCUUCGGGUUGUAAACUGCUUUUGUACGGAGCGAAAAGGCUCCCUCUAAUACAGGGGGCUCAUGACGGUACCGUAAGAAUAAGCACCGGCUAACUUCGUGCCAGCCGCCGCAGUAAUAC